rnacentral:tRNA from 1 species
AUUUAAAUAGUUUAAUUAAAAAUAUUGAUUUGUGAUAUCAAAGUUAUAUGGUUAUUUUAGAUU